GGCUCCCUGGUUCCUGUCUUUUUGGGACAAGUCUGAACCUGAAGUGCAAGGAGACACCUUCUGGACAGACAGAGCAAAGGAAUGUCUGAGAAGAGAAACUUUGGGGCAAGUGAGAACAGCUGGGGCUGAUCUGGUGGACUUAGACUCUCUUCGCUCCCCUCAUUGCAAGACACGAAGCUUCUGCUUGGGAUGUCACAGGCUGUGACAAUGAGCUCAGGGAAUAUCACACCAAAGUUAUCUAAGCAAGUUGAGGUUUCUUUCAUGCAGAGGCCCAGGGAGGAGGCAGACCCAGCUGGGCAGGGAGGCAGAGCUAGCACGAAUGAUGGGGUGACAGGACCUCUUUCUUAGGACAGAAGGCCAAAUAUUCUAUGCAGUUAAAGGAAUGAAUAUGGGUGUUUGUGGGCAUAUUUAAUGGGGGCAAUAAGGACAGAAAGGAUAUAGCGUAUUUUUUUUUAUAGUUCCUGGUACCAACAGGCUUAUUUCAUAUCAGAGCUAAGUGUUAAGAGUUGAUUAUUUGUCAUCGGGGGUCUUGGGAAAGAAAUGGGUCAGAGAUUUCAUCUUAAAAACACUGUGGGGGACCCAAUGGGAGGCAGCUGGGGCAGAAUGGGCUGGACCUUGUCAGCCCAUAAAAAGGAGGUCAUCACAGACCCAGGCAAGUGGCAAACUAAAAGCAGAUUUCUAGGGGACAAGGCCACCAUAUCUCAUGGGAUGCAGCGCUCUCUUAAGGAUCUGGGCUUUCAGGACCUAAGUCACCCCAGCAGGGAGACUGUCUUCUGGGUGGGCUCAAAGCACAGAAUGGGUAUGCAUUCCCGCAGGAGGCUCAGGGCCAAGAGCCAGCAGCCCUCUGAAGGGGAAGGGUGCUGGGCAGGAGGAGAUCCCCGGGGAGUCGAUGCAUGGAUCAAGCAGGAAGCCGUUUUCCUGGGACCGGAAAGGGAGGGACUUGGGGGAGAUAACGUGGAGACAGAGGAGAACUCGCGCUGCUCAUGGUCUCUGCUUCCCUCACUCCCUCCGUUCCCCACUCUCGGCUCACUUCUCCUCCUUUUCCUGUCUCAGCACAACUGGCUUCCCCGCUGUGGCCCACAGAUGCACAUUAUUAAUUGCAUCAUGGGGGAAGUAUUGGCAUGAUGGAAGUUUCCGGCGAGGACCUGGGAAUGCCAUUGCAGGGAGACUCACAGAGCCCCGUCCAAUAGAGGCUGAAAUCAAGGAAAUGUGAAAUGUCUGUGGCCUCCUCCUUGGUCCCAGGGCCUAAUGCUUCCCUGAGCUGGAAGCUGUCCUCCCAACUGUGGGUGCUCCAGGGCGACAUUCCCAGUUUCCUUUCUAAGUUUCGUGUAAACAUGAACACGCACACACACACAUACACACAAGUGUGCUAAACGCGGAGUGGCAGAAGAGGUGGCAAAUCAGACCUAUGAUGGGGAAAUAAAGAGGAAAUGUAUCCAAGAAUAGACAGACAAGCUGAAGUGGCAGAGGUCCCAGGAGGUGUGUGAGGACAGCCCCAGCGACCUGCUCCAGGGGUGCACAGAGCCCCAGACCUGGGGCAGACAAGAGCCGGGACCCAGCCAGCCAAAGGGAAUGAGCCUCGCCAAUGGCCUCGCCUUCCAGCCUCAGCAGAGUACGCAGUGGGCCUCAGCAGUGAGCAGAAUGACAAGGACAGCACCUCUGCCAGGGCCAGGCACCCAGGCAGAGGCGGCCGAGGGCCCGGCCAGUCUUCACCACAGCCUGAGUGUGCCGUCUGUCUUGCUUCCUAGAGUGGGGACCAGGAGGACCCCGGGGGACACUGUGUUAGGGAGGCGUGAGGACACGCUGCAAAGUUAAGCGAUAAUACAUGAGACGGAGGCGGGGCCAACCAAGGAGGGGGCAUUUGGUUUCAUAAUUGAUAAAUCCAUACAUAUAUAUAUAUGUAUAUGCAUAUAUAUGUACAUACAAUUUAGAUAAACACGGAGGGUGAGAAUGAGAAGCCUCUUUUAAUCAUAAUUUUAAAAAGACAACUCCACAAACAAAAAAAAAUCCUCACUUUUGAACUUCUCUUAAGUAUAGUUCAAUGUGAGGUCUUGCACCCUAACCAGUUAUAUCUGGAUUUUUAAAAAAAUGCAAUUACACACAACAAAGACUAACAGUAUUUACUUAAAAUAUUGUGUGUAUGUGUGUAUAUACACACAUAUAUAUAUAUACACACACACAUGUAUAUACUUAUAUAUAUCUUUUUUGUGAAGAUAUUUUUCUUUUCCUUUUUUUUUUUUUUUUUUGUGCCCAAGUAGAGAUACAAUGGUAUUUGAAAUGAUGCCCCAGAACAGAAAUAGUCCUUAAAGGAAUAACAGUUCAAAAAUAAAAAUUGUACAAAUGGUUGAACAUACUUGCAACACCUCCAGAAAUCAACUCAAUACAAUGAGAAAAUCAAUAGUUGAUUUAAAUUCUCACCCAAAUAACACGACCUCGAACACCAGCCUUUGCAGCUAGUGGAGGCCACUCUCCAGGGAGGGGCCUCCACACAGGCAGCCUCCUGCCACCCAGCCCUGGCCCCUGGAGCUGCCCCUCCAAAGUCACAACAGCAUCUGCUUCACAUUAGCUUUGCGUAUUUCUGGCAAGACCUUGCAACAGGGACACACACACACAUACACACACACACGUGCUAUGGGCACACACACACACACACAAAACACAUAAAUUUCCCAUGCAACCCAGAUGCACCAGGUGAGCUGAAUGAUUUUCAGCCAACCACAAUGACAGAAGCACCAAACAGUCUUUGAAAUGGGUCAGUUAUUACAAUUUGAUUUUUUAUGUAUGUAUAUAUAUAUAUAUAUGCAUAUAUAUACACACACACAUAUAUAUAUGUUCUAGUUUUCCUCUUUGUGUUAUGUUUAAAAAAAAGAAUAGAAAAAGAAAAAAGCACAAAUGAAAAAUGAAUAAUUCUUUCCAGAUCAGUUUAAGGCUUCCCACUGAAUGGAAACAGAAGAGGCCUUACACACUGUCGCAUGGGGUGAAUGCGCACCGUUCUCAGCCUUAAAGUGAUGGAAGAGAUCAGUGUUGCCAGUCACGGGUUAAGUAUUGUGCCUUUAAGUUGAUGUCGUUCUUUUUGCUACUAUGCUGAGUUUUAUUAUUACUGGUUAUUUUUGAU
rnacentral:lncRNA from 1 species